GACGAACGCUGGCGGCGGGCUUAACACAUGCAAGUCGAACGGAAAGGCCCUGCUUUUGUGGGGUGCUCGAGUGGCGAACGGGUGAGUAACACGUGAGUAACCUGCCCUUGACUUUGGGAUAACUUCAGGAAACUGGGGCUAAUACCGGAUAGGAGCUCCUGCUGCAUGGUGGGGGUUGGAAAGUUUCGGCGGUUGGGGAUGGACUCGCGGCUUAUCAGCUUGUUGGUGGGGUAGUGGCUUACCAAGGCUUUGACGGGUAGCCGGCCUGAGAGGGUGACCGGCCACAUUGGGACUGAGAUACGGCCCAGACUCCUACGGGAGGCAGAAGUGGGGAAUAUUGCACAAUGGGCGGAAGCCUGAUGCAGCAACGCCGCGUGCGGGAUGACGGCCUUCGGGUUGUAAACCGCUUUCGCCUGUGACGAAGCGUGAGUGACGGUAAUGGGUAAAGAAGCACCGGCUAACUACGUG
rnacentral:rRNA from 1 species